UUCCCUCCUUCAAAAAGAUUUGCCCUCAAAUUUAAAAUGGUCCAUCACUUCUCAAAUCCAGCUUUUACUUCAUUUAUUUUAGAAAGCUUUAUGUGUGCAUAUAUACCCCAACCCAAUCUCCAUGUUCAAGUAUAACUUUUUUUUGCCCUUUAUAAGCCCUUUGACCAUUAACUUGGUUUUUCUUUUUAAUCUACUCACGUGCCUUCUCAUGGAUAGCUUUAACCAUUUGAGCCUUUUUCUUACCAUAUAAACUAGAAAUUUCACUUAAAAGGUAAUGACAUUAAAUCCA
rnacentral:lncRNA from 1 species